CCUACGGGAGGCAGCAGUGGGGAAUAUUGCGCAAUGGGCGAAAGCCUGACGCAGCGACGCCGCGUGAGGGAUGAAGGUCUUCGGAUCGUAAACCUCUGUCAGCAGGGCAGAACGGUCACUGUGCUAAUCAGCAGUGAAUUGACGGUACCUGCAAAGUAAGCACCGGCUAACUCCGUGCCAGCAGCCGCGGUACUAAGGAGGGUGCGAUCGUUAAUCGGAAUUACGGGGCGUAAAGCGCUCGUAGGCGGUAUGUCAAGUCAAGGGUGAAAUCCCCGCGCUCACCGUGGGAACUGCCUUUGAAGCUGGCAAACUGGAGUGUGUGAGAGGAUAGGGGAAUUCCAGGGGUAGGAGUGAAAUCCGUAGAUAUCUGGAGGAACAUCAGUGGCGAAGGCGACUAUCUGGCACAUAACUGACGCUGAGGAGCGAAAGCGUGGGUAGCAAACAGGAUUAGAUACCCCUGUAGUC
rnacentral:rRNA from 1 species